AGUGAACGCUGGCGGUAGGCCUAACACAUGCAAGUCGAACGGCAGCACAGUAAGAGCUUGCUCUUACGGGUGGCGAGUGGCGGACGGGUGAGGAAUACAUCGGAAUCUACUUUUUCGUGGGUGAUAACGUAGGGGAACUUACGCUAAUACCGCAUACGACCUACGGGUGAAAGCAGGGGAUCUUCGGACCUUGCGCGAUUGAAUGAGCCGAUGUCGGAUUAGCUAGUUGGCGGGGUAAAGGCCCACCAAGGCGACGAUCCGUAGCUGGUCUGAGAGGAUGAUCAGCCACACUGGAACUGAGACACGGUCCAGACUCCUACGGGAGGCAGCAGUGGGGAAUAUUGGACAAUGGGCGCAAGCCUGAUCCAGCAAUACCGCGUGGGUGAAGAAGGCCUUCGGGUUGUAAAGCCCUGUUGUUGGGAAAGAAAAGCAGCAGGUUAAUACCCCGCUGUUCUGACGGUACCCAAAGAAUAAGCACCGGCUAACUUCGUG
rnacentral:rRNA from 1 species